rnacentral:snoRNA from 1 species
AGGCAAACAUUAUAUAUUUUAAUUAAAAACGAUCCUAGUCUGGUUUAUUGGACUUUGAGGAACUCAGUCUGCAACUUUAAGUGGUGGGUUCUCUCCAGUGUCAGGAUUUUGAUGAUGACUUUGUUUUGCCAAAUAUCA